rnacentral:rRNA from 1 species
UACAGAGGGGGCAAGCGUUGUUCGGAAUUACUGGGCGUAAAGGGCGCGUAGGCGGCCUGUUAAGUCGAACGUGAAAUCCCUGGGCUCAACCCAGGAACUGCGUCCGAUACUGGCAGGCUUGAAUUCGGGAGAGGGAUGCGGAAUUCCAGGUGUAGCGGUGAAAUGCGUAGAUAUCUGGAGGAACACCGGUGGCGAAGGCGGCAUCCUGGACCGAGAUUGACGCUGAGGAACGAAAGCUAGGGGAGCAAAC